CAAAUGACGAGGCAGCACACUCCAGUGCUGAGAGCUGACUGCUGACUGUGGAGAGACAUGAUGCUGAAUAUCAUAUCCAAGGAUAUCUAUGAGUCACUGAAACCUCGGAUAAGGGAGAACUAUUGAGUCCUAUUCUUUGAGAAAUGAACAUUCUCUGUCAUGCAUUCCAUUAGCCAGCCCCAGGCAUGGGGAUGGAUACUGCGCCCCAGGAGACAUCGUGAUGACUAUCAGAAAAGGCCUUCUUACCUCAUCUGUCCUUCACCCCCACUGGCGCUGUCACUCCCAGAAGCCACCACCCUGAGAGUAGAUGUGUGAUGAUAGAGUGUGUGCUGGUGGCUGCAGACUGGAAUGAUUCUUUCUGUCAAGCCACCCCUUCUUUCAAAAGGCUGACCCCAGCACUUCCUUGAGAAAGAGGCCCAGUUCCAUAGGGGGCAAGAGGAAAGGUUUUCUUUGUUCAUUUUUAAG